ACAAAAUGGAUCGAAGUAGGAGCAGGAGGACAGGGAGGAUUUUGGACACAGGAUCUGGUCGGUCGUUAGGCAUCGGGCUCAGUGUGCUGUGGUAUAAACUGAUUGUCCAGAACAGAAAAAAAGCAGCGACUUAGAAACUUCUCGAUCCUGAUGUGGUUGGACUGAAACUGUCCUGGGUCAAACUGUCACUUCCAGUGGUUCAAAUGUCAUACUGACACUCAGCAUUUUUUUGUCCCUUAAAGCUUCAA